UCCCUGGUGGCUCAGAUGGUAAAGCAUCUGUCUACAAUGCAGGAGACCCAGGUUCGAUCCCUGGGUUGGGAA
rfam:Ovis aries breed Texel chromosome 7, whole genome shotgun sequence.